UACGAAGGGGGCUAGCGUUGUUCGGAAUUACUGGGCGUAAAGCGCACGUAGGCGGAUCCUUAAGUCAGGGGUGAAAUCCUGGAGCUCAACUCCAGAACUGCCUUUGGUACUGAAGAUCUUGAGUUCGGGAGAGGUGAGUGGAACUGCGAGUGUAGAGGUGAAAUUCGUAGAUAUUCGCAAGAACACCAGUGGCGAAGGCGGCUCACUGGCCCGGUACUGACGCUGAGGUGCGAAAGCGUGGGGAGCAAACAGG
rnacentral:rRNA from 1 species